ensembl:lincRNA
CAGAAGAUGUCUGCUUCUGCCUUCAAACUAUAAUUGCUUUUGGUCUGAAAUAAUUCAUUUCCCACUCUUUUUCCUCUUCUAGAAAACCUUGCCCUUUCAGCUGGAUAUUUUUCCUUAAUUUUGUGGCUACUUUUUUUUGGAGGGCAAUGGGAAGGGUUAGGGAGCCAGGAGGCUAAGGAGACCAGAAUGCAUGUCAUAACACACACAUUUUGUGAAGGUACAACGUAGAAUAAAGAGAGGAUCUGUGAGCCAAGGAAUGAAAAAAUAACACAUUUUGUCAUAAAAAUGAGGUUAACCAUCACAGUUUUUGAAUAUCUAGUGUCAUCAAAGGUAUUUGACCUUUUAAAAUCCAUCAGAGCAUGCUUCUAUUUGCUUUGUUUUCAGUAACUCAAGUGCUCAAGUAUGAUAGUUGAAAUCUUUUUUAGAAGCCAGUAUCUUAAAGAUCCCAAAUCUUGCGUGUUCUCCAAAGAAUUAUUUUAAAAACAUUGGAAUAAAAGCAUCAUCAAAUUUCCAUAAAAUCUGCAUUUGUGGAUUCUUUAGCACAGAACACUUCUGAUCUAUAGUAUACACUUUAUGGGAACUAGAAACAGGUGAUCUCAGCAACAGGGAGAACUUCAUGAGAUAGGGAGUUUAGGCAUCCAUGAGAAUCCACAACUGCAAAGUAGCAUGGUACAUCCUUCUAACCUCUAGGCUCAAGUCUUGAAUCAUGAAGAAUAGAAAAGGAAAGAUAUGACAGGAAAAAAGAGGAUGUGAAAGAGAGACAGAUUGAUCAUCGUGCAAUGCAUGAUGUACAGAUCAUAUGGACUUCUUGCAGUGCAGUGUACAUAUUCCCCACCUAUUUCUGUAAUUUUCCCAAACCAGUUCUGUGAAGGAUUCAUGACCACUACCCCAAAAUACGGCACCUCUGCCUGUGUGGAAACAACAGAAGCAGGAAGAUUACUCUCAUUUUUCUCUGGCCUUUUUCCCUUGAAGCAGACCAUAAAGAAGAAUCUGACCUUCCUCUGAAGGAAACCUUCAUUCCAGACAUACCCUCCCUAUAUCCAAAGAACAUCUUUAUCUUUAAAGACACAGAGAUGCCAAGAAGAAUCUGAACAAACAGGCUUUGCCAGAUUCCCCAGUUUACUAAUAUUGGACCAUACUCUUUUGUUCUUCAAUCAUACUUCUGCAUGAUGUCCAUAAAAAUACACAGUUUUCCCCAUUCCUUUGGGUAUUUAUUCCCGAAAGCCUCUGUGUCA